rnacentral:piRNA from 1 species
UGGUUCUCACAGAAGGACACAGC